rnacentral:pre_miRNA from 1 species
NCACACAUACACAUAUAUACAUACAUGUAUAUAUGUAUAUAUACAUGUAUGUAUAUAUGUGUAUGUGUGUG